rnacentral:lncRNA from 1 species
AGCAGAGCUGGGGAUGGGGAGAGCUAAUAGGGCUCCUUCUUCCUUUUUUCAUUUAAAAAUAUCUUUAUUGGGCUGUUUUUCUUUCUGUCAGUUGUUGUCAGCAUCUCCUCCAGAAGACGUAACGUAUAGUCUCUAUGCCCUGUGGAAUUCUGGAGAGUGCAUGCUUUCAUCGGAGACUUCACAAAGCAUUCACAACAGGGUGCUCUGGCAUUAGUCAUGGGAAUACAGGAACCAUGGGAAUACAAGGAGCAGAGAGCAGCUGACUCUACUCUUUUCACCAGGCAGUUUGGAGAAAAAAAUAUGUGACCUGACUCAAGUGCAGAUGAAGGGAAAGUAAACAAAGCAUAAGGGUAAGUUUAAAGGUGGCUGGAUGAAAGAUGGCUUUGAGUUGAGGCCAACGUUGACUGUGAGGACUGAGUUAAAGUUCCACAAGUGAAAUUAGUGAUAAUGUCAAUUUUGCAAAUUUCCUAUUUUCUGGACUGAGAAAUUUCCCAUUCACUGAGUUUGAGAACUUUAAUCAGAAUGGAACAGUCAAAAACUCUUGGGGAAAAAAAAAAAAACAAAAAAC